AUUGAACGCUGGCGGCAUGCCUUACACAUGCAAGUCGAACGGCAGCAUGAUCUAGCUUGCUAGGUUGAUGGCGAGUGGCGAACGGGUGAGUAAUACAUCGGAACGUGCCCUGUAGUGGGGGAUAACUAGUCGAAAGAUUAGCUAAUACCGCAUACGACCUGAGGGUGAAAGUGGGGGACCGCAAGGCCUCAUGCUAUAGGGGCGGCCGAUGUCUGAUUAGCUAGUUGGUGAGGUAAAGGCUCACCAAGGCGACGAUCAGUAGCUGGUCUGAGAGGACGAUCAGCCACACUGGGACUGAGACACGGCCCAGACUCCUACGGGAGGCAGCAGUGGGGAAUUUUGGACAAUGGGCGAAAGCCUGAUCCAGCAAUGCCGCGUGUGUGAAGAAGGCCUUCGGGUUGUAAAGCACUUUUGUCCGGAAAGAAAUGGCUCUGGUUAAUACCUGGGGUCGAUGACGGUACCGGAAGAAUAAGGACCGGCUAACUACGU
rnacentral:rRNA from 1 species